GAUGAAGAACGUAGUGAAAUGCGAUAAGUAAUGUGAAUUGCAGAAUUCAGUGAAUCAUCGAAUCUUUGAACGCACAUUGCGCCCGCCAGCAUUCUGGCGGGCAUGCCUGUUCGAGCGUCAUUUCAACCCUCGAGCCCCCCCGGGGGCCUCGGUGUUGGGGGACGGCACACCAGCCGCCCCCGAAAUGCAGUGGCGACCCCGCCGCAGCCUCCCCUGCGUAGUAGCACACACCUCGCACCGGAGCGCGGAGGCGGUCACGCCGUAAAACACCCAACUUCUGAAUGUUGACCUCGAAUCAGGUAGGAAUACCCGCUGAACUUAAGCAUAUCAAUAAGCGGAGGA
rnacentral:misc_RNA from 1 species